AUUGAACGCUGGCGGCAGGCCUAACACAUGCAAGUCGAACGAGUGGCGGACGGGUGACCAAUGUAUGGGCAAAUGCCUGAUGGAGAGCGAUAACUAAUAGAAACGGUAGCUACAGCCGCAAACCAGCGGCUGUGCCCAGAUUGGAUUAGCUAGUAGGUGGGGUAAAGGCUAACCUAGGCGACGAUCCCUAGCUGGUCUGAGAGGAUGACCAGUCACACGGGAACUGAUACACGGUCCAGACGCCUACGGGAGGCAGCAGUGGGGAAUAUUGCACAAUGGGCGAAAGCCUGAUUCAGCCAUGCCGCGUGUAUGAAGAAGGCCUUCGGGUUGUAAAGUACUUUCAGCGGGGAGGCGUUACCCACAGAAGAAGCACCGGCUAACUCCGUGCCAGCAGCCGCGGUAAUAC
rnacentral:rRNA from 1 species